ACAGGGAGACGUUUAGGCCACCAGACGGCUGCGGGCGGGCUUGACUGAUGUCAGGCUUUCCACAAGAGGUGGUGGAGCAGAGUCUUCUCUAACUCCCCUGGAGAAAGGGAGACUCCCUCUCCGGGUUUGGGAAGAGACAAAACUCAGGAGGAUUGUGCUAUGAUAAACAAGGCUAACCUGCUGAUUCUCUGAAGCAAGGAACUGGAGAUGGUCCUUCUAAGGGUUUAUAUUCUGGAUUCCAGGAAACAUGCAAACAGGACCCAUAAAUGCAUCUUUAUUUUGGUGCCCAUUUUGACCUGGUCAGGAGAAUUCCAACAAAAAAUCCACGGUGUUGGAGCAAGAUCUCAGGCUCUCAGGCUGUGGCCAUCUAGAGAUUCCAUUUUGGAUGCUCCCAUCGGGACUGUGUGUCCCUGUGCUGGAACUCGAGUGAACACUUGGCUCAAAAUCCAUUGCUGUUCUCUAGAAAUCCUGCCCUAUUCUCUUGGUGAAAUAUAAGACGGUGUUUCCCUCUUGUUGCCCAGGCUGGAGUGCAAUGGCAUGAUCUCGGAUCACUGCAACCUCCACCUCCCUGGUUCAAGCGAUUCUCCUGCCUCAGCCUCCCGAGCAGCUGGGAUUACAGGCAUGCAUCACCACGCCCGGCUAAUUCUUUGUAUUUUUAGUAGAGAUGGGAUUUCUCCAUGUUGGUCAGGCUGAUCUUGAACUCCCAACCUUAGGUGAUCCACCCACCUCGGCCUCCCAAAGUGCUGGGAUUACAGGCAUGAGCCAUUGUGCCCGGCCCAUUUCAUUUAUUUUUAUGUGUGCUGCUGAAGCAAGCACUUAUGUGUAGGAAUUGUUCUUCCUGUGAGCAUAUGUUGGCCAGCCUGGACCACAUACCAAGAUCCCAUCUCUUUAAAAACACAGAUUACGUGGCACCUGGCACCUGGUCCCAGAGACUUCAUUUGGGUUGGUCAUUUGAAACACUAGCCUCCCAUCAAUUUAGUGUAAUCAAUCCAAAUCAUGUGUCCUUCAUUAAGAGACUAAGAACGCCUCCACGUCUAUCCAGUCUAUUUUGUAAUCCCCAACGGUUGUCAAUAUUAAUAAAAUUUCUUUUCUUUUUCC
rnacentral:lncRNA from 1 species